rnacentral:lncRNA from 1 species
CAUCAGUGUGGGUGGGGCUGUUGCAUAUCAGUGUGGAGGAGCUGGUGAACACUCAGUAUGGGAAGAGCUGUGCACACUCAGUGUGGGUGGGGCUGGUGCACAUCAGUGUGGGUGGGGCUGGUGCACACUCAGUGCUGCACCAGUGCCCCAAGCCCCUCCCAGACGCCUUCAUUUCAUUACAGUGUAUCUCUGGAGGAGCCGCGGGUCACCUCCUGUCACUCAGUCUCUUUCCAAAGCAGCAGGGUCCCAGCGGAACCUGGCCCACAGGAGCCCCUGGUCCCUGGGGAGCGGAGUGAGGGUGCAGGGCAGAAGCCAAGGGCGCUCCUCAGCCGCACUCACAGACGCACACCACACACAGGGACACACAGACACGCCAGAGACACACGCCUCUGCACAAGGACACACACAGACAUACACACAUGGAAACACAACACACGUAUGGGUAAACACAGAUAAAACAGACGUAGAUGCACACAGACUCACAUGAAACAGACACCUAUGGACACACAAACACCCACACAGACACACAAGGACACACACCCAUAGGGACAACCACAGACACACACAGCGAUAGACACCCAGACACACACGCACGCACACGCACACGAGGGUACUUCAAAGAGUCCAUGGGAAAAGGGAAGGAAAAGAUAAGUGAAUUUUGGUGCAGAAAGCUCGAAAUGCAUGCCCAGUUUUUCCAUAACACACACUUUCCAUGACGUCUCAGAAUCCCCAUGUACGGAGGGCGCCCGACAUUUCUGGCACCAAAAUAAACUUGCCGUUCCAUUCCA